CAUCAAACCUCUGAAGACCGUUGUCUUUUGUCCACAGGUUUGUUGAUGUUUCAAGGAAAGUGUGAAAGUGAAACAUCCAAAAACAUGUGGACAGAAGACAAC